rnacentral:rRNA from 1 species
CAGCAGCCACGGUAAUACAGAGGGUGCGAGCGUUAAUCGGAUUUACUGGGCGUAAAGCGUGCGUAGGCGGCUUUUUAAGUCGGAUGUGAAAUCCCUGAGCUUAACUUAGGAAUUGCAUUCGAUACUGGGAAGCUAGAGUAUGGGAGAGGAUGGUAGAAUUCCAGGUGUAGCGGUGAAAUGCGUAGAGAUCUGGAGGAAUACCGAUGGCGAAGGCAGCCAUCUGGCCUAAUACUGACGCUGAGGUACGAAAGCAUGGGGAGCAAACAGGAUUAGAUACCCGUGUAGUCCCUGUCUCUUAUAA